GUGGCCAUGGAAGCCUGGAACUCCUACAUCCCAUCUGGGUGAAAGAGAAGGGAAAAAGCCACUUUCACAGAGGGAGGGGGGACGUCAUGAGAUGUGACUUGGGGGAGUAUUCUUAUGUCCUCCCCUUUAAAUUAAUUUUUAAAUUAUAUAAAUAUAUUCGGGAUUUUCUGGUGAUUCAAGCAAACACAGCAUCGAACUUCAGAUCCACAGCAGAGGUGGGUACUUCUGGCUAUGGAGAACGUUGACGAUCAACGAGACGGAUGAAACAAUAUCCCUAUUCAAUAAAAGUGAUACGGAUCUGACAGAACGGGUGUGCUGAGGGUCCUGUCCAUGAAGGAACGUCAUCUGAUGGGACCCAGGAGGAGAGCCUUGUCUGCUGCUAUACCUGACUUUUGAACCAUCAUCCCUCCAAGCCUCUUCCAAUUGCCAUGGACACAUGCACGAAGCCACCAAGAGUUGAGUUGUCUUGAAGAUUUUUCCUUUCCCUUCCAAUUGCCCUGGUCUUGGGGAGGCUGACCAAAGAAAGUAUUUUGGAAGUGGUGGUCCCAUGACCAAACUCAAAAUCUUGCUCAUGCAGCACUUUUAUAAUGUCGAUGACUUUGGUAUUCUCUAAAAGCAACUGCUG